UAGGGAAUCUUCCACAAUGGACGCAAGUCUGAUGGAGCAACGCCGCGUGAGUGAAGAAGGUCUUCGGAUCGUAAAGCUCUGUUGUUGGUGAAGAAGGAUAGAGGCAGUAACUGGUCUUUAUUUGACGGUAAUCAACCAGAAAGUCACGGCUAACUACGUGCCAGCAGCCGCGGUAAUACGUAGGUGGCAAGCGUUGUCCGGAUUUAUUGGGCGUAAAGCGAGCGCAGGCGGAAUGAUAAGUCUGAUGUGAAAGCCCACGGCUCAACCGUGGAACUGCAUCGGAAACUGUCAUUCUUGAGUGCAGAAGAGGAGAGUGGAACUCCAUGUGUAGCGGUGGAAUGCGUAGAUAUAUGGAAGAACACCAGUGGCGAAGGCGGCUCUCUGGUCUGCAACUGACGCUGAGGCUCGAAAGCAUGGGUAGCGAACAGGAUUAGAUACCCUGGUAGUCCAUGCCGUAAACGAUGAGCACUAGGUGUUGGGGACUUUCCGGUUCUCAGUGCCGCAGCAAACGCAUUAAGCGCUCCGCCUGGGGAGUACGACCGCAAGGUUGAAAC
rnacentral:rRNA from 1 species